GAUGAACGCUGGCGGCGUGCCUAAUACAUGCAAGUCGAGCGAACAGACGAGGAGCUUGCUCCUCUGACGUUAGCGGCGGACGGGUGAGUAACACGUGGAUAACCUACCUAUAAGACUGGGAUAACUUCGGGAAACCGGAGCUAAUACCGGAUAAAUAUUGAACCGCAUGGUUCAAUAGUGAAAGACGGUUUUGCUGUCACUUAUAGAUGGAUCCGCGCCGCAUUAGCUAGUUGGUAAGGUAACGGCUUACCAAGGCAACGAUGCGUAGCCGACCUGAGAGGGUGAUCGGCCACACUGGAACUGAGACACGGUCCAGACUCCUACGGGAGGCAGCAGUAGGGAAUCUUCCGCAAUGGGCGAAAGCCUGACGGAGCAACGCCGCGUGAGUGAUGAAGGUCUUCGGAUCGUAAAACUCUGUUAUUAGGGAAGAACAAAUGUGUAAGUAACUAUGCACGUCUUGACGGUACCUAAUCAGAAAGCCACGGCUAACUACGUG
rnacentral:rRNA from 1 species